rnacentral:rRNA from 1 species
AAGUCGUAACAAGGUCUCCGUUGGUGAACCAGCGGAGGGAUCAUUGCUGGAAGCGCCGCAAGGCGCACCCAGAAACCCUUUGUGAACUUAUACCUACAUCGUUGCCUCGGCGUUGGCUGCCCCUCCCCCCUAGCGGGAGAGGGGGCCCUCCCCCCGUGGGAGGACAGCAGGCCCGCCGGCGGCCCAUUAAACUCUUGUUUUUACCGAGUAACUUCUGAGUAAAGCUUCUAAAUGAAUCAAAACUUUCAACAACGGAUCUCUUGGUUCUGGCAUCGAUGAAGAACGCAGCGAAAUGCGAUAAGUAAUGUGAAUUGCAGAAUUCAGUGAAUCAUCGAAUCUUUGAACGCACAUUGCGCCCUCUGGUAUUCCAGAGGGCAUGCCUGUUCGAGCGUCAUUUCAACCCUCAAGCACAGCUUGGUGUUGGGACUCGCGUUAAUUCGCGUUCCUCAAAUUGAUUGGCGGUCACGUCGAGCUUCCAUAGCGUAGUAGUAAAACCCUCGUUACUGGUAAUCGUCGCGGCCACGCCGUUAAACCCCAACUUCUGAAUGUUGACCUCGGAUCAGGUAGGAAUACCCGCUGAAUUUAA